AUAGGAGAAGAACCCGACUCGGUAUUCUUAAAAAAAGAGGGGAAGCAGAACCAAGUCAAGAUGAUAUGGGUCGCCCCUUCUUCUUGCGCCAAAGAUCUUACCAUUUCCGAAGGAACUGGGGCUACAUUUCUUUUCAAUUUCCAUUCAAGAGUUUCUAUCUGUUUCCACGCCCUUUUCUUGAGACCUCGAAACAUGAGGACAAAUUAUUCGGUGUCCGGCUCCCCUGCCCAAGAAGCCAGUCACUCCACGUUUAGCAAAGAUGCUGGAGCCGGCGCCAUACAAGGCACCAGAGAAGAAGGCCAUAGGAAAGGCCAAGGGGGUCCGGAGUGGCCCCCGCCGCAAGGGCACUUUAGACGUGGUGUCCGAAGACAAGGCCCAUUCCCUCGCCGCCGAAGACGGCGCGGAUGA
rnacentral:rRNA from 1 species